rnacentral:misc_RNA from 1 species
UCCGGCUUAUCACCGGCAGUUUCGCUAAAGUGCCCAGCCCAACCUGAUGGCAACUAGCGAUAAGGGUUGCGCUCGUUGCGGGACUUAACCCAACAUCUCACGACACGAGCUGACGACAGCCAUGCAGCACCUGUGCUCUCACCGGCCGAACCGAAGUAGUUUGUCUCCAAACCACGCGUGAGGCAUGUCAAGGGCUGGUAAGGUUCUGCGCGUUGCUUCGAAUUAAACCACAUACUCCACCGCUUGUGCGAGUCCCCGUCAAUUCCUUUGAGUUUUAAUCUUGCGACCGUACUCCCCAGGCGGCAUGCUUAAUGCGUUUGCGACGACACUGAUCCUGUUACAGACCAACAUCUAGCAUGCAUCGUUUAGGGCGUGGACUAC